CCUACGGGAGGCAGCAGUGAGGAAUAUUGGUCAAUGGGCGGAAGCCUGAACCAGCCAAGCCGCGUGAGGGAAGAAGGUACAGCGUAUCGUAAACCUCUUUUGUCAGGGAACAAAGGCGGGGACUAGUCCCCGGAUGAGGGUACCUGAAGAAAAAGCAUCGGCUAACUCCGUGCCAGCAGCCGCGGUAAUACGGAGGAUGCGAGCGUUAUCCGGAGUUAUGGGGUUUAAAGGGUGCGCAGGCGGCCUGUUAAGUCAGCGGUAAAAGCCCGGGGCUCAACCCCGGCGAGCCGUUGAAACUGGCGGGCUGGAGUUGGAGAGAGGUACGCGGAAUGCGCGGUGUAGCGGUGAAAUGCUUAGAUAUUGCGCAGAACCCCGAUUGCGAAGGCAGCGUACCGGCUCCAAACUGACGCUGAGGCACGAAAGCGUGGGUAUCGAACAGGAUUAGAUACCCCAGUAGUC
rnacentral:rRNA from 1 species